GACGAACCGAGCGAACGUUGCUCGGAAUCACUGGGCGUAAAGGGUGCGUAGGCGGGUCUUUAAGUCAGGGGUGAAAUCCUGGAGCUCAACUCCAGAACUGCCUUUGAUACUGAGGAUCUUGAGUUCGGGAGAGGUGAGUGGAACUGCGAGUGUAGAGGUGAAAUUCGUAGAUAUUCGCAAGAACACCAGUGGCGAAGGCGGCUCACUGGCCCGGUACUGACGCUGAGGUGCGAAAGCGUGGGGAGCAAACAGG
rnacentral:rRNA from 1 species